rnacentral:lncRNA from 1 species
UGACUUGGUCAAAGUUUGCUCCUCAAGAGUGCAUUGUCUUCACUUGUGAUGAUACUUAGAGAAUUUUCUAAGUGAGGAAGAGCUGUUGACUUCGGUCAAAUGUUGCUCCUCACAUAGCUUCCUUGUUCUCUCUCAUCACUUGGGGACGAACUUUGACUUGGUCAAAGUUUGCUCCUCAAGAGUGCAUUGUCUUCACUUGUGAUGAUAC